UGGUGAAACUGGAGAAAGAGUUGCCAUGGGGCAGAGGAAGGGAGGACCCUAGUCCAGAGACUUUUCGGCUGAGGUUUCGGCAGUUCCGCUACCAGGAGGCAGCUGGACCCCAGGAAGCUCUUAGGGAGCUCCAGGAGCUCUGUCGUCGGUGGCUGAGGCCCGAGUUGCACACCAAGGAGCAGAUCCUGGAGCUGCUGGUGCUGGAGCAGUUCCUCACUAUCCUGCCCCGCGAGUUCUACGCCUGGAUCCGGGAGCAUGGCCCAGAGAGUGGCAAGGCCCUGGCCGCCAUGGUGGAGGACCUGACAGAAAGAGCACUGGAGGCCAAGGCGGUUCCAUGCCACAGGCAGGGAGAGCAGGAGGAAACAGCACUUUGCAGAGGCGCUUGGGAGCCAGCUGGGAUCUGCUCCCAGGCAACUGUGUGAAUUUUACAUUAUUUGGAGCCUCAUCUGUGUCAGGCUAUAACAUUCUAUCCUCAUCUGUAAAACUUCCCCGUCCAUUAUUCCUUGCACUAUAACAACUGUCAACACACCAACUAUUAGGAAGUUAGUAUUUUGCUAUUGAUCACUGAAUAAACAUCAGAGUAUUUUAAAAAACAGUUCUCUAGAAAGAACUGUUAUAAUUAAAAUGAGUCUGAAAGAUGAACU
rnacentral:lncRNA from 1 species